GUUGUCUAAUCACAAACCAUUCAUGUUAAGUCAACAUUUCAUACAGUACAGCAGGGGGCAGUAGCGAGACCCCAGCUGUCAUGAACCGCUAAUGAAACAGAAGAGUGAGACAAUUCAAACUACACCUGCGCUGGAGUUAAUUGACUCUCUGCCCGCGCGCGCGUUACCCUUUGCAGUUCUGUCCGUUUUAACAGAGGAGGUCAACACACGAAAAGUUUUUCUGGUCCUUAAUAAAAGGUGUGCUUUACUCGCAACAGAAUGCAACUGUUGAGAAGAAGAGGGAGUGCCUCAUCAAGGCACUUUGUGUCUACUUAAAUGAAGAACCGGACAGUCUCUUCAAAGAAUAUCUGAAUACAGAUGGCUGUGCUGCAGAGAGGAUCUUGAACAUGUUGUAUUUGGCAUCUACAGCAUCAAUGUUGGAGGUGAUGCCACUACCUCUCCAGCUGAUGUUGGAAUUGUUAUUGAGGGUGUUGAAGUGCUUCAUGACUUGGGAGACAUCGCUACUACAUGUACGGUCUUAAUG